AUGGUUCCUCCGGAGCCUCAGGAACUAGAUGCAGAAGACAAGAAGAAGGAAAGAGUCGCAGUCGGUGCUCCUUUCACGUGGAUUACAUUGCACUUUGGUACUUUCCCCGAGGAAGCUAAUGGGGACGUGGUCAAGACAUAUGCUCGUGUCUACAUGCGGUACGUGAUAUCCAGGACUAUGUUUGCUGAUGGCACAGGCAAGAAUGCUCCAUGGAUGUGGCUGAAGGUGUUGACCGUCUUCGAUAGCAAAUGGAGUUGGGGUUCGGCGACACUGGUUUACUUGUAUAGACAGGUAUGA
rnacentral:rRNA from 1 species